CUGGUCUCUAACUCUUGACGUUGGGUAAUCCACCCACCUCGGCCUCCCAAAGUGCUGGGAUUAUAGGCUUGAGCCACUCACUGUGCCUGGCCAGUGAAUAAUUAAAAGAUGGUAAGACCUUUUCUUUUUAGGGUAGUUGCAAAACAUCUAUUCUUGGUAACUGUGUUAAUUCAUGUAAUUGUUUUGGAGACAUAUAUCUAUAUAACUAUAUAAGAUAUCUUUUAUUCUGUUAAUCACUAUCUAGGGAAAUUGCCCUUUAAAAGUCUAAAGAGGAAAAAGCUAUCAGUAAAAAUUGAGUAGUUGUGAUAGAGACUGUGUCAGUCUGCAGAGGUGAAAAUAUUUACCAUCAGGCUUGUUAAGAAAAAUGUUGCUUAUCCUUCCUUCACAGGAAAGCAGUCUGGGGCUGGUCUGAUGAUUCCUUGAUCUUUGGCCCGAGGUUCUUCCAGCCUCAGCUUCUUUCUUAUGUUCCAUAACUGUUGCUUUAUGCACAUCUUCACUGUAGCCAGCAAUAGGAGGAAAUGGGAAAAGGGGGAGGCAGAAAUGGAGUCAUUGGAGUGGGUAGGUAUGCAUUGAAAACCUGAGGAAGAUGGGGAGAAUGGAAAAUGGGGUUCAUUUGCAGGCUGUACCACUUGUCUGAGUUGUUGGAGACACCUGACCAGUAAACUUGAAGUACCUUGUCGGUA